AGGCACAGUAGUGGUUGUCUUUCAGGAGGAGAAGGUUGUAUCUGCUGACCAAAAUUAUCCCCAAUCUGGUCUUCUACUUUUUGAGUAUUUGCUUCAGGACAUCACCUUCGUGGUCCACAGGAUAAAAGUUAUUAUCAGCAAUAAGUUGGACCUUAACCAUGCAUUCUUGCUCGCAAAAGACAUGAAGAUGCAAUCAACUUACCAAGAGAUGCAGGAAGAAUUGCACAAAAGCAUGUGCGUAUUCAGGGACAUAUUUCUUGCACUAAAGAAAUUGACACCAAAACAACAACAACAACGUGAAUAAUCCUCAAAGAUGAAAACCCAUGCCAUAAUAAUCAAUAAAUUAUGUGUGAGCAGCUCA